ensembl:lncRNA
ACACACACACACACAACCUGCAAAGGAUCAUAAAGAGCCAUAUCAAUAAUGUAUGAGGAGAAAAUGAUCCCUGUCAGAGGAGAGAAAAGGUUAUUAGUGUUUUUAAUUAAUUGGUCUUUCUGUCAUCGCCCGAGGAGGUGCUUUAAUGCUCCUGAGAUUCCAUAUAUAGAAUAUAUAUAUAUAUAUAUAUAUAUAUAUAUAUAUAUAUAUAUAUAUAUAUGUAUGGGAGGAGGAAAAACAGGGGGAGGAAGGAAAAGAAAAGUAACAGAAAGAAAGAGGAAGAGCCUGAACCAUAAGAGAGAUGGAGGAGAGGUGAAUGGAGGAGAGACGGAUGGAGGAGAGACGGAUGCAGGAGAGUUGGAUGGAGGAGAGAGAGAUGGAGGAGAGAUGAAUGUAGGAGAGAGAGAUGGAGGAGAGGUGAAUGGAGGAGAGAUGGAUGUAGGAGAGAGAGAUGGAGGAGAGGUGAAUGGAGGAGAGAUGGAUGUAGGAGAGAGAGAUGGAGGAGAGGUGAAUGUAGGAGAGAUGGAUGGAGAAGAGAUGGAUGUAGGACAGAUGGAUGAGGAGAGAUGGAUGUAGGAGAAUAAAGAAAGAAAAGGAGAAGAGGGGCCGAGUUAAGAAGGGGGGGUAGAGAUACAUCUACUCUUAUUCUACUCGCCUUGUCGUUAUUUUCCUCUCAUGUUACGGCGAAUUCACAGAAUCAAAUGCACUGACUCACCGGACGCGCCGCUGCGUUCCCACCACUGGGGGGCGCUGAGUGACCUGUUCUUUUUCAACGGAGCCCUCCAGGUCACCUGCCCCCCUGCUGGGCCUCAGUCCCUCCCAGAGAGGCCCAGAGGACCUUUCAUCAGGUUACUUCUGCUACCUGGAAGCAUCUAGUGUUGAUCUUCAUGUCUCCAGUGUUGUCAUGUGAAAUUACAAAAACAACCACAAUAAGUGGCUCUUCCCUCCUUCGUUGUUGCCUCACGAGGAGAGAUUCAUUCGUGAUUCAUUCUGUGAGAUGCAAAAGGCCUUAAUGUAACUCGUCCCUCCUCCUCCUCCUCCUCCUCCUCCUCAUACCACCUCCUUCAGGUGUUCCAGCUUCACUCCAUUACAAAUAGUAACUCGCCACUUCUCCAUUAUGAAACACUGGAAGUCGCCUGUAGCCUGCUGGUUUCUGGAAGCUUCACUCGUCAUCAUCUUCAGUUUAACAACAAACUAAACAACGUUUAGCUUUGCAGAAGAAUUACCAGCAACUCUGAGGAGCCUUUCGGGUUCUCACGCAAACGUGAAGUCAAGAGGAUUCAUCAUCUGGUGAAGAUGAAUGUUUGUGUGCUUUUCCUACUGUGUCGUGUCCCAUGAAACAAGCUUCUCUGUUGUAGGUCCACAGUCUGCAGAAGGUGUUCCGCAGGGCUCACGUCUGGGCCUUCUACCCAUUUUCACCCCCAGAAGAGGAGGAUGUAACUGCUGGUAGCGUCUCUCUGAAGCAUCUGCACUUGUUUGGUCCCAUUUGUCCUCUCAUGUCUCACCUGUACGUGUUUUCGCUCCACGUUUAUCUGCAGUAUUCAGUUUGGUUUCGUUCCAGUUUGUUGUUUUUUUGCUUUCUGACCCAUAAACUGGACCCUGAACAACACAAUCGGUCCAUAGCUGGAAUGAAUUAUUAAGCAAACCCUUUCAUACAGCGAGUACUCUGGAGCCCUCAGGAGCAUAAUAAAAUACAAGAGUGUCUCUUAAGCUGUGAGCGUAACAAAAGACGUGAGCGAUGAAUGGAUGUGCACACUGCGCCGCCUGACCACGGGCCUCCACCUCACUCCCCCCCCGAGAAGUGACGGAUGAAAUAUUAAUCUUCUUGAAUUCAUGAUGGAGGACAGCGGGUGAGGAAGCGAGGAGGAGAGAGAUUGGAGGGAUAUUAAACCGAGACAUUAGGAGGUAGAGGUCGAGGAGGAGGAUGGAGGAGGAGGAGGAGGAAGAGUAUGAGGAGCAAAGAUCUUUCCGCUGCAAAUUUUAUGGUUUUCUUUUCUUUAAACAACAAAGAUCCGCCGGUAUAAUUAAAUAAAAUGUAGACAUGAUGUUGUUCACAUCCACAAAGGCACAAAGAGAGGGACUGUUGGUGUGUAGCUGCACAGCACAAACACACAAACACACAAACACAAACACACUGCUGUGCAGCCAAAGUCCUGUGCGGUUGUCCGCUGAGCAGAUGCACUGCAGCAGUGGGGGGGAUUAGGCACCUUGCUCAAGGGCACCUUGAUGCUAGUUAAUGAAGGGGGGGGCAUGAAUGCUUCAGUGGCUCCUUUGUGGGACUCGGUCUGCAUGUUUCAACAGAAAAACGUUCAAAUUCUACUUUCCCGACCUGGAAAAGUAGUUUUUUCCGCCUAAACUUUGCACGUCGCACCGUCAGUAAAGAGAAUACAGGUUAAAUAAAAUGUAAACAGUUUAUAACGCACCCAUUCAUCACUUCGCACGCUGCAGGCCGACGUCUGGAGAGAAGAAGAGAAAAUCAAAAGGCCGGGAGCCGGCUGGCGUUUGGACUGUCGGGCCGUUUGAUGGCGUCAUGGCGCAUGACGCGUGAUGAUGUAACGGCCUCGCGCUCCCCUGCAGAGCGACUGCGAAGCUUUGCUACAGCGGUUGAUGUAAUGAAGUCAUGAUAAUCUAAUGAACCGUGGCGGUAAAGGCAAUUGACAUGAAUUAAUAACCCCCCCAUUGGAAUACCGGGACUAAGGCGUCCAAAUCCCCCUUUGUUGGAUGAACGUAAAGUAUGUUGCAUUCAAUCAACUUAAGCUCAUUUAGUGACUCAUUAACCUGCGUCCUGUUUUUACACAUUUAAAAGAGGCAAAGAGGCAAAGAGCCGGUUGCCGGCGUCUCAGGAUGGUUGCUAGUAGCAACAAGGCAACGCCGUGCGGCCCUGUGAUUUCCGUCCCGUCCCUGGAUGUUGGGGGUUUUGGUCAUGGUCCUCAGGGGAUUCUGACUUCAGUCUCUUCCAAUGAAUUCACUCAUUGAAAUUCACGUGUUACAGUAAACAAUAAAAG